rnacentral:piRNA from 1 species
UUAAGCAAACUACCAGCCUUCAUCCGGA